GACGAACGCUGGCGGCGUGCUUAACACAUGCAAGUCGAACGGAAAGGCCCUGCUUUUGUGGGGUGCUCGAGUGGCGAACGGGUGAGUAACACGUGAGUAACCUGCCCUUGACUUUGGGAUAACUUCAGGAAACUGGGGCUAAUACCGGAUAGGAGCUCCUGCUGCAUGGUGGGGGUUGGAAAGUUUCGGCGGUUGGGGAUGGACUCGCGGCUUAUCAGCUUGUUGGUGGGGUAGUGGCUUACCAAGGCUUUGACGGGUAGCCGGCCUGAGAGGGUGACCGGCCACAUUGGGACUGAGAAACGGCCCAGACUCCUACGGGAGGCAGAAGUGGGGAAUAUUGCACAAUGGGCGGAAGCCUGAUGCAGCAACGCCGCGUGCGGGAUGACGGCCUUCGGGUUGUAAACCGCUUUCGCCUGUGACGAAGCGUGAGUGACGGUAAUGGGUAAAGAAGCACCGGCUAACUACGUG
rnacentral:rRNA from 1 species